GACGUAGGGCGCGAGCGUUGUCCGGAUUUAUUGGGCGUAAAGAGCUCGUAGGCGGUUUGUCGCGUCGGCCGUGAAAUCUCCACGCUUAACGUGGAGCGUGCGGUCGAUACGGGCAGACUUGAGUUCGGUAGGGGAGACUGGAAUUCCUGGUGUAGCGGUGAAAUGCGCAGAUAUCAGGAGGAACACCGAUGGCGAAGGCAGGUCUCUGGGCCAUAACUGACGCUGAGAAGCGAAAGCAUGGGGAGCGAACAGG
rnacentral:rRNA from 1 species